GAGUUUGAUCCUGGCUCAGAUUGAACGCUGGCGACGUGCUUAACACAUGCAAGUCGUGCGAGAAAGGAGACUUCGGUCUCUGAGUAGAGCGGCGCACGGGUGAGUAACGCGUGGAUGAUCUACCCUUGAGUUCGGGAUAACGGUGCGAAAGCGCCGCUAAUACCGUAUAACAAUCCAUUUCAUCGUGGGUUCAAAGCAGGCCUCUUCAUGAAAGCUUGCGCUUGGGGAUGAGUCCGCGUCCCAUUAGCUUGUUGGCGGGGUAACGGCCCACCAAGGCUACGAUGGGUAGCUGGUCUGAGAGGAUGAUCAGCCACACUGGAACUGAAACACGGUCCAGACUCCUACGGGAGGCAGCAGUGGGGAAUAUUGCGUAAUGGGGGAAACCCUGACGCAGCGACGUCGUGUGAGGGAAGAAGGCCUUCGGGU
rnacentral:rRNA from 1 species